rnacentral:tRNA from 2 species
GCGCGUGUAGUUCAGUGGUAGAACGCCAAACUGAUAAUUUGGAGGUCGAAGGUCCGAUUCCUUCCACGCGCACAA